AACGCAUAUUGCACUCUCUGGUAUUCCGGAGAGUAUGCUUGUUUGAGUAUCAGUAAAAACCCUCACAUCUUUUCAUUUUGAAAAGAAGUGGAAUUUGAGCGAUCCCAACGUCUCCAAGAUGGCGGGCCGCUUCAAAUGCAGGUACAGCUAGGAUCGAAUCCUGGGCUAUUUAGCAUAUCCAUUUAAUCUCGUAAAACAGAUUAUAUACUUUGCUUACAGCCAAUUCUAAAGGGAAUCAUCCAAUCAAGCUGACUGAUGCAGUAUUUUCAGAGUCGCAAGGCUUUGUUAAAACUCGAUCUCAAAUCAAGUAAGACUACCCGCUGAACUUAA
rnacentral:misc_RNA from 1 species